UAAUAAAAAAAUAACCAUAAACGAACGAUAACCCAAAUCAUUGAACUAUUCCACAAAUGGUUUGGAUGAUACCCAGAACACGUCGUUAAGCAAAUUAACCAUACAAUUUUUAUUAGGGAAGCGGUGCAUUUUGACGGUUCGAUUGGAACAACUUUUGACAGACGUCCAUACUUUUACUGUAGGGCUUUACACACGAAUUGCCGGCGACAAAGUGACGUCAUUUGACAUUGGGCGACUUAAAGACUGACGUUUUUAAAUUGGUGUAUUUUUUUUUGUCGUGCGCUCAGCCAUCUUGUCUGGUUUGUUUAUAAACAAACUAGACAAGAUGGCUGAGUGCACGGAGCGCACCGCAAAUUCCUUCACCCGAGCCGCGAAGGAAAUUAGCAACUUUAACACCGGCUGCUUCCAAUAAUUCCGGAGGUGUUCGGAAAUUGAAUAGAGGUAAGCUGAGCCGGCUGCUUCCAAUAAUUCCGGAUUAAGGGACGGGUACGGAAAUUGAAUAGAGCCGGCUGCUUCCAAUAAUUCCGGAGGUGUUCGGGAAUAGAGUGGCAACCACUUACGCCAGGGAGGCAAUUGAACACCUAGACCUGGACUCAUCAACUCAAGGGCCAGGAUCCACGGCUGUGCUUCUUUUCGAAGGAAGGCAUGACACCACCAAAGCAACCAAGGAAGUCAUCAAUCACCACCAACUGACGAGUUUCGUUUGUGGUUCGACACAUGGACGGAGCAUUUGUGUUUUGCUAAAUUUUGCUAAUUAUUGGGGAAUUUCCCUAAACUUUCACGCGGCCACCAGUUUUCACUCUUCCACAGGCCUUAAGGGUAACCCACAUUAGAUCUGCUUGCGUUGCGUUGUCGUAAAUUUUAUAGUUAGACAAUAUAUUUAGCUGUCACUUUGCUGCAUCGCGCCAGAUCCGGAUCUAAUGUGGGUGGCCCUGUAGAUUUGGAAACUUGAUUAUGUAAACACUAGGCAUCUUUUUCUGGUAGUUCGUUCAAAAAUGAUACAACAAUCGUCAAGCUCGCUGUAACGUCACCUAGUGCCUCGUCACCUACAAAUUGGCGCCUAAGUCAGUGGUCUAAUAACUCUUAGCGCGCUAAUGGCAUAGUUCCCCUGCCGCAUAGAGAGUUGCCACAAUGACAUUAGGUUAGCUAAGGUCAGUUAACUGACUGGUGGGAAACGGGAGCUUACGCAAUGACUAUUCUGUAUGCAUUUAAGAGAUAGUCUACCAGAAUGGAUGAUUUUUUUUGUACAAUUUUAUGUUUUCUGAUUGUGCAAAACAUGAGAAUUAACUUUUCCAAUGCUUUCAAUUGUACAAAGCAUUAGUGCUAGAAACAUGAUCUUGUAAACACUACACACCUUAACUGUUAGUUUGAUUAAAAAAUGCUGCAACAAUCGUCAAGCUCGCUGUAAUGUCACCAAGUGCCUCGUCACCUACAAAUUGGCGCCUAUGUCAGUGGUCUAAUAACUCUUAGCGCGCUAAUGGCAUAGUUCCCCUGCCGCAUAGAGAGUUGCCGCAAUGACAUUAGGUUAGCUAAGGUCAGUUAACUGACUGGUGGGAAACGGGAGCUUCAGCAUUGACAGUUAUGUACGCAUUUUUAUGAUGUUAUCUAACAACAAUGGUGUGUAGUGUUUACACGAUUAUGUUACUAAUUCUAAUGUGUUGUAAAUAUAAUUGAAAGCAUUUGAAAAGUAAGAUUCUAGUGUUUGUACUUCUUAAAACAUAAGUAAACAUCUACAUUUUAAAACAUUCAAACAACGUUUACUUUAAACGUUUUGUACAUCUGAAAACAUCAGAGAACAACAAACAGGAAGUACAAUUGAAAACAUCCGAACAACGUUUAGUUCUAACGUUGUGUACAUCCGAAAACAUCCAAAAAACGUUUGGUUCUAGCAUCGGGAAACAUCUACAUAAGAAAACAUUAGAAUACAUUUACAUAUAAAAACAUCCGAACAACGUUUAGUUCUAACGUUUUUUACAUCCGAAAACAUCCAAAAACGUUUGGUUCUAACAUCAGGAAACUUCUACAUUAAAAAACAUCAGAAAACAUUUACAUAUAAAAACAUUUAAACAACGUUUAGUUCUAACGUUUUUUACAUCCGAGAACAUCCGAAAACGUUUGGUUCUAACAUCGGGAAACAUCUACAUUAGAAAACAUCAGAAAACGUUUACAUAUAAAAACAUCCGAACAACGUUUAGUUCUAACGUAAUGUACAUCAGAAAACAUCCUUAAAACGUUUGGUUCUAAUGUCAAGAGAUUGAAAUUUUUGACGUCAGACCGACAUUAGAAUGGCAAAAUUUUGUUCCAAAAUUUCUGAUGUAUACACCAUGUUACGUUGCUUAAAUACAACUAAAUCAUAA